UCCGGUUUGGCACCGGCAGUCUCCUUAGAGUUCCCACCAUUACGUGCUGGCAACUAAGGACAAGGGUUGCGCUCGUUGCGGGACUUAACCCAACAUCUCACGACACGAGCUGACGACAGCCAUGCAGCACCUGUGUAUCGGCUCCCUUUCGGGCACCCCCGCCUUUCAGCAGGGUUCCGACCAUGUCAAGGGUAGGUAAGGUUUUUCGCGUUGCAUCGAAUUAAUCCACAUCAUCCACCGCUUGUGCGGGUCCCCGUCAAUUCCUUUGAGUUUUAAUCUUGCGACCGUACUCCCCAGGCGGUCAACUUCACGCGUUAGCUGCGUUACCAAGGAAAUGAAUCCCCAACAACUAGUUGACAUCGUUUAGGGCGUGGACUAC
rnacentral:misc_RNA from 1 species